UGCCAGCAGCCGCGGUAAUACGAGGGGUCCUAGCGUUGUUCGGAAUCAUUGGGCGUAAAGCGGGUGUAGGCGGACCAACAAGUCAGAAGUGAAAGCCCUGGGCUCAACCCAGGAAGUGCUUUUGAAACUGUUGGUCUUGAGUGUGGAAGAGGGUAGUAGAAUUUCUGGUGUAGUGGUGAAAUACGUAGAUAUCAGAAGGGACACCGGUGGUGAAGACGGCUGCCUGGUCCAACACUGACGCUCAGACCCGAAAGCGUGGGGAGCAAACAGGAUUAGAUA
rnacentral:rRNA from 1 species